UUCUGAUUUGCGGAAUUUGAACACGUCAAGCAGUCGAAAUUUGUCAUACCUUUCCCUAAGCCUAAGACGAAUUUAGAAAAAUGUAAAAAGUGGAUUUCUCUUUGCGGACGGAAAAAAAUUACCAUUGAAAAAGUCAGGAAAGAGACUUAUAUUUGCAGCAUGCACUUCGUCGGAGGGAACGGACCAACUGACGAAUAUCCUGAUCCCUUGUCAGCCUUGUCACAAAAUGUCCUACCACCGAAGGCACGAAAUCCUAGGAAGAGACUGAGGCUUCAACCAGACCCACUGCAUGAUCUCCAAGUGAAUUUGCCUUCCCCUGAGGAACA